GUGAUCCGGUGGUUCUGCGUGGAAGGGCCAUCGCUCAACGGAUAAAAGCUACCCUGGGGAUAACAGGCUUAUCUCCCCCAAGAGUCCACAUCGACGGGGAGGUUUGGCACCUCGAUGUCGGCUCAUCACAUCCUGGGGCUGUAGUAGGUCCCCAGGGUUGGGCUGUUCGCCCAUUAAAGUGGUACGCGAGCUGGGUUCAGAACGUCGUGAGACAGUUCGGUCCCUAUCCGUCGCAGGCGUAGGAAAUUUGAG
rnacentral:rRNA from 1 species